rnacentral:rRNA from 2 species
UUCGCAAUGCCCGAAAGGGUGACGAAGCGACGCCGCGUGGGUGAGGAAGGCCUUCGGGUUGUAAAGCCCUGUCAGGAGUUAAGAAAUGUAAGUGUGCUAAUAUCGCAUUUACUUGACGAAGGCUCCAAAGGAAGUCACGGCUAACUCUGUGCCAGCAGCCGCGGUAAUACAGAGGUGACAAGCGUUGUUCGGAAUUAUUGGGCGUAAAGAGCACGUAGGUGGGUUUGUAAGUCAGAUGUGAAAGCCUCCUGUUCAACGGGAGAAUUGCAUCUGAAACUACUGAUCUUGAGUAUAGGAGGGGAGAAUGGAACUUCUGGUGGAGCGGUGAAAUGCGUAGAUAUCAGAAGGAACGCCGGCGGCGAAAGCGAUUCUCUGGCCUAUUACUGACACUCAGUGUGCGAAAGCUAGGGGAGCAAACGGGAUUAGAUACCCCGGUAGUCCUAACCGUAAACGAUGGGCACUAAGUAGAGGGGUUUU